GUCGAAUUCGGUGUCUAUGGAAAGCAGUUGCAAAAUAAGAAAUUAUCAACAGGUAGAACUAAUUACAGACAAAAAGAGAUUGCGACGGUACACGGCAAAACCUAAUUUCAAAUCUAUCAAAAAAUUUUCUGAACAUUUGGUCGCUGUCAGCAUGGAAAAAGUGUCAGUCACCCUAAAUCAACCUGUGUCUGUUGGUUUCACCAUUUUGGAACAUGCUAAACGUAUUUUGUACGAAUUUCAUUAUAAUGUCAUGCUCAAAGAAUACGGAAAUUGUUUGAAAGUACUCAUGACUGACACUGACAGUUUAUUAUAUCAAAUUCUCGGCUUCCGUAGGUCGACCCAUAUGACUUCAUGCAUGCUAAUCUCUCUCUCUUUGACACGUCCAACUAUCCGAAAGACACAAAGCCAUUGGUGUUAUGAAGGAUGAAGCGGGUGGUAAAAUCAUCAGUGAAUUUGUUGGGCUUCGAGCUAAAAAUUAUUCGUAUAUAAUAAAAAAAAAUUCAGGUGAAACAAAGGAAGAACUGAGAGCAAAGGGCAUUCAAAAAACAUUUAUUCGUAAGCAUCUUCGGCAUGAGAUGUUCAAAGAUUGUCUUUUCAAACAUAAACAGACUAUGGCCUCUUAUCAUCAGAUUAGAUCUUUUCACAAUGAACUGUAUACCAUCAAAACCACGAAAAUUGCACUGACACCUUUAGACGAUAAGAGAUACCUUUUAGACGAUGGGUACAAUCCAUUGUAAAAAAAAAAAACGUUUGGUCUUUUUUAUUUAUUUUUUCAUACAAAGAAUGCCCUCUUUUUUUUCUCAAGUAUUUUCACAGUGUUAGUAAAUUCAUUUGAUAAUGUGCAUAGCAAACAGUGAUAUAAGACAUCUGUGAUGCAAUCAACCAUCUGUGAUAGAGCCACCGAUGUCAUGUAUCCAAGUACGAUUUGGACACAGACACAUUUUGCUAACUUUGAUGACAGUAACAAUGGGAGACGCUCACCAAAGAAAUAUUCAAGUCUUCUUACCAGAUCACAGAAAGACAAAUAGAUGGAUAUCGUCAGAUCAAUGGUGCAAGACAUUUGUGUGAAUAAGCUCAAAAAUAAAAAAAAGGUCUCACUGAAAUGGUUUUCUGUUGACGAGGCUCUGUGAAUAGCUAUAAAUGAAAGACACAAUACAAGUGGUGUCAAAACAUAAACAGAACACAGCAAUGGCUGUAAUAAUGACAGAUAGAAAUAUAAAACUUAAGUUUUUCAAAAAUGUUUAUUCACACAACAAAUAUGGUAUUCAUGAUGACAGAAGACAAAAAAAAAAAAACCCGUCUUUAUUCAAACUUUUCAAGUGAUUUAUGUGUCUUAAUUAUUUUCUGCCCUGGUGGACCAUUAACUGCUUUACGUUUUAAAUAUAAUGUUUGAUGACUUA